rnacentral:rRNA from 1 species
UACGUAGGGUCCAAGCGUUAUCCGGAAUUACUGGGCGUAAAGCGUACGUAGGCUGGUAUUUAAGUGCAAUGUGAAAUCUUGUGGCUCAACCAUAUAGACUAUGUUGCAUACUGGAUGCCUAGAGGACGGCAGAGGCAAGUGGAAUUUCUAGUGUAGCAGUGAUAUGCGUAGAUAUUAGAAGGAACACCAAUGGCGAAGGCAGCUUGCUGGGCCGCCCCUGACGCUGAGGUACGGAAAGCGUGGGUAGCGAACAGG